CCUACGGGCGGCAGCAGUGAGGAAUAUUGGUCAAUGGGCGAGAGCCUGAACCAGCCAAGUCGCGUGAAGGAUGACGGCCCUACGGGUUGUAAACUUCUUUUGUCAGGGAGCACUUGAGUCCACGUGUGGUCUUAGCGAGAGUACCUGAAGAAAAAGCAUCGGCUAACUCCGUGUCAGCAGCCGCGGUAAUAAGUAGGUUGCGAGCGUUAUCCGGAUUUAUUGGGUUUAAAGGGUGCGGAGGCGGAAUAUCAAGUCAGCGGUAAAAAUUCGGGGCUCAACCCCGUCGUGCCGUUGAAACUGAUGUUCUUGAGUGGGCGAGAGGUAAGCGGAAUGCGAGGUGUAGCGGUGAAUUGCAUAGAGAUCACACAGAACUCCGAUUGCGAAGGCAGCAUACCGGCGCCCAACUGACGCUGAAGCACGAAAGCGUGGGUAUCGAACAGGAUUAGAUACCCUUGUAGUC
rnacentral:rRNA from 1 species